AUGGUGCCGUAACUUCGGGAGAAGGCACGCUGGUGUGUAGGUGAAGUCCCUGCGGAUGGAGCUGAGACCAGUCGAAGAUACCAGCUGGCUGCAACUGUUUAUUAAAAACACAGCACUGUGCAAACACGAAAGUGGACGUAUACGGUGUGACGCCUGCCCGGUGCCGGAAGGUUAAUUGAUGGGGUUAUCCGUAAGGAGAAGCUCUUGAUCGAAGCCCCGGUAAACGGCGGCCGUAACUAUAACGGUCCUAAGGUAGCGAAAUUCCUUGUCGGGUAAGUUCCGACCUGCACGAAUGGCGUAAUGAUGGCCAGGCUGUCUCCACCCGAGACUCAGUGAAAUUGAACUCGCUGUGAAGAUGCAGUGUACCCGCGGCAAGACGGAAAGACCCCGUGAACCUUUACUAUAGCUUGACACUGAACAUUGAGCCUUGAUGUGUAGGAUAGGUGGGAGGCUUUGAAGCGUGGACGCCAGUCUGCGUGGAGCCAACCUUGAAAUACCACCCUUUAAUGUUUGAUGUUCUAACGUUGGCCCCUGACCGGGGUUGCGGACAGUGUCUGGUGGGUAGUUUGACUGGGGCGGUCUCCUCCCAAAGCGUAACGGAGGAGCACGAAGGUUAGCUAAUCCUGGUCGGACAUCAGGAGGUUAGUGCAAUGGCAUAAGCUAGCUUGACUGCGAGCGUGACGGCGCGAGCAGGUGCGAAAGCAGGUCAUAGUGAUCCGGUGGUUCUGAAUGGAAGGGCCAUCGCUCAACGGAUAAAAGGUACUCCGGGGAUAACAGGCUGAUACCGCCCAAGAGUUCAUAUCGACGGCGGUGUUUGGCACCUCGAUGUCGGCUCAUCACAUCCUGGGGCUGAAGUAGGUCCCAAGGGUAUGGCUGUUCGCCAUUUAAAGUGGUACGCGAGCUGGGUUUAGAACGUCGUGAGACAGUUCGGUCCCUAUCUGCCGUGGGCGCUGGAGAAUUGAGGGGGGCUGCUCCUAGUACGAGAGGACCGGAGUGGACGCAUCACUGGUGUUCGGGUUGUCAUGCCAAUGGCACUGCCCGGUAGCUAAAUGCGGAAGAGAUAAGUGCUGAAAGCAUCUAAGCACGAAACUUGCCCCGAGAUGAGUUCUCCCUGAGACUUUAAGUCUCCUGAAGGAACGUUAAAGACGAUGACGUUGAUAGGCCGGGUGUGUAAGCGCAGCGAUGCGUUGAGCUAACCGGUACUAAUGAACCGUGAGGCUUAACCUU
rnacentral:rRNA from 1 species